rnacentral:rRNA from 1 species
UACGUAGGGUGCGAGCGUUAAUCGGAAUUACUGGGCGUAAAGCGUGCGCAGGCGGUUUUGUAAGCCAGAUGUGAAAUCCCCGGGCUCAACCUGGGAAUGGCAUUUGGGACUGCAAGGCUUGAGUGCGGCAGAGGAGACUGGAAUUCCUGGUGUAGCAGUGAAAUGCAUAGAUAUCAGGAGGAAUACCGAUGGCGAAGGCAGGUCUCUGGGCUGACACUGACGCUCAUGCACGAAAGCGUGGGGAGCAAACAGG